GACUUCAAAGAAGAAGAAAAGCAGUGAUCUCAAAUACGACAUAUUUGGAUGGGUAAUCCUGGCUGUCGGCAUUGUUGCAUGGGUUGGAUUUGCAAAAUCCCAUAUGCCUACCCCUCCCCCAACCCCUCCGAGAUAAGUGGGAGGAACAUGCGAUAAGUGGGAGGAACAUGGUUUUGUUCGUGCCUCAGGCACUUUGAGAUUUCAGUAUCCACACAGUCCCAUUGAGCCGUCUGAUUCUAGGAGAAUUGAGAAUUUUCCGUGCUGUAUGCCUGUACCGAUCCUUUUAGUUAUUAUUUUAGUUAUUUUCUCUGUGUAAACCGUUAUGAAUAAGUGUUACUAUAUCUAUAUCUAUCUGUUAUAUGGAAAUCAUUGAAAUGUUCUUAGUUAUUUCGGAAAAGCUGUAUUUGUUUUAAGCAUCGACUGCAUUUUUUUAUUCGGCAUCCAUCCACUCACUGACUCACGUCGUCAAAUAUAUUGAGUGUUAAAAUCUUAAAGGCUGUGUUUGGCACAUUGUAUUGUAUUAUGUUGUAUUGUAUUAGCACUGUAUUAUAAUAAUAUUGUACAAUGCUUGGUGCUACACUGUAUUGUAUUAAUUUUUUUAUGAUUAAUUUAAAUUAUAUAUUUUAUUAUAUUAAUAUUUAUAUUAUUAUUAAUUUUAAAUUAAUAUUUAUAAAAAUAAAAUAAAAUAUUAUAUAAUAUCAUAUUAAAUUAAAAAGUUAUAUUAUUUAUUAUUAUUAUUAUAAACAAAAAUAAAAGCAAAAAGCAAACGCAAAGGAAAAAAAAAAAAAGCAAGCUGCAAACGCAAAACAAGGAAAAGAAAAAAAAAAAAAAACAAGCUAAUGCGGUAAACUGCUGCAUUACUUAAACCCGACUUUACUUAAACCCGACUCACAGUUGGGUUUAGCUAAUGCGGCAGUUUCUGCAUUAGCACAUUUACUUUAACCCAUUCCUAUGUUCUUCCAAACAUAAUACUAAUAUUAAUUUAAUGUAAACACUAUUUUAAUAUAUUAUAAUAUCAUGCACCAAACACACUCAAAGGUUAUUGUUUACCUAUGUAUUAUUAUUAUUUCAUUUGAAUGCAAUUAUUUAUUUUUGAAGAAUAAUAAAAUAGAAAAAUGCAUUUGAUGGAUUUUCAUCUAGAAAAUUGUGUUUUUUUUUAAUCGAUUUAAAAUAUUAAAAAUGAAUGAUGGAAGCUUUUCUAGUUAUUAAAAAAUGAACUUGCUAUGCGACGUCGUUUAGGCAUUGACAAGUCACAAGUGACACUGGCGUGGCGAGUCCAGCGACUAGGAAGAGAGAACACGAAGGUUCACGUUGAUCUCUGGGUGAGGGUGACGUGGCACAAAAAACAAAAAACUGAAAAACUGAAAAGCAAAGGGAGCUCGCUCUUUCUCGCAGUCUCUCUUUCGUUGAGACUCUGAGCUGAAGAAAAUGGCAGGAGCCAAGUUGUGCGGUGGCGAUACAGCAUUCCUGCUACGCUCGCACUCGCACUCGCACUCGCACUUCCUUGAAGCAGCAACACGCCGAGCCGCGCCGUUCCCAGGCCGAGUCUCCUCCGUCUCUCCCAAUCCCAAACCCUCUCGUUACCGAAUCUUAGCCAUGACUGUUAAAAGAAGCCCUAAGCGCCUUAAAUACUCCGCUCCACAGUUCACCAAGGUCGUCUUCUCUCUCUUCUCUCUCGCUCUUCUCUUUUUAGUUUCUUUUAUUAAUUGAUUAUCAUUAUUAGUCUAAAAAUUAGCUUGCGGACUGCAAUGUGCGUCAUUGCUUGCAUGAGUGAAUAAACGUGUAAAACUAAAACCCUAGUGUGUUGUUGUUGUACUGUCUACUGAGAAAUAGUAGAGACUGCCUUAUUACAUGCACCUGUAUGGUACAAUCCUUGUAAAACUUUUUGUUACUAAGGUAAUGAUUUAUUGUGUGGGUAAUGAUUACAGCCAGAACACUGGGCGGAAUUAAUGAAAUUAUUUCUGGUUCCAUAAUUAAUAGGUUCUGUAUAGGAGUUCAGUAUGACUUUUUAUUGACUUGAGCGUUGAAUGAUGCUUUUUCUUUCAUAAUAAUAUUAGGAAGGCGGAUUGAUGUAUGUUGAAGCUGACCCAUCGGGAGCUGACAGUUGGAAAUUGGAGCCAGUUGUUGAACUUUUGAAAGAAGGAGCUGUGGGGGUCAUUCCUACUGACACUCUGUAUGCCACUGCCAUUUGCCUCAGCCGCUCUGUUAGUUACUUUAAAGCUGUGUUUGAUAUCAUUGUACUUUGUAUAUCAGGGUAGUCACUGGUGAAGGUUGGGAAGCUAUAGUUGUAAAUUUAUAUUUCCGCAUGCUGCGAUUGUGGGUUAUUUUGACUUUUGAGCAAGUUACAUGCAUCAUGAUGAGCUUGUAGGCUAGUUGUUGAUUUAUAAAGAGGAUCGCGCACCGUCAGAAAGACUGAAAAUUGACUUUUUCGAAUCCUGAAAUUAUUUAAACUUCUGUUAUAAAUUCAUCACCAUUGUGGUUCCUACCAGAAAUUACAUUAUCCGGUGCUUAGUGGGUGUAUUAGAGGAAAGGAGAUAAAAGAAAGUAGUUCUUCAAGUUUACAUCCCUAUGUUGGUUGGCUUGAUUGGAGGUUUUUUGUGUUCUUUGGUUCAAAAUAAUGAAUUGCCAUCCCUCACGACUUCAAUAUGUUGUGAAUUAAGAUAUUAAAUCAGCCCUUCACUGUGCAAUAACAUUACUGGAUUGAAAUAUUCAAUUGUGAUCCUUUUUUAUUUUUUUCCCUGAACUCUGAAAGGAUGUCAAUUGUUCCUAUGUUCUCAGGUAUGCAAUAGUUUGCGAUUUGAAGAGCCAUUCAGCGAUUGAACGUCUUCGUAGGUAAUUGAUGUUGUUUUUCUUGUACAAACUUCAUUUCUAUCUUGCUUGGUGAACCUCUCUUAUUUUUUCCAAUUGCAGGAUAAAAAAUGUAGAACCUUCUAAGGUAAGGAAGAUUGCUUCUCGUCCGUUACCUUAUUAGUUUAAUCUCUACUCCCUUUAUGAAUGUUAAGAUAUUUUUUCAAUUUUCAUUAUCUGGAGGUUGAUGCAGAAAGCAUAGUGUGAGAAAUUUGUUUGAUUGGGAUGAAGUUUUGGGUUAAUUUUGUUAGCUUGGAUUUUCCUGUGUCUCAGGUUUCAAGAGUUUCUUUUUUCAAAGUUUUGUAUAGCUUUUGGUGUUCUACUCUGUAGAGAAGGUUUUAGUUUGUGGACCUCUGGUUCACUUUUGUAAUAUUUAUUCCCUUCUAAGAUUCUAUAAAAGUUUCUCUGUUUCCUAUAAAAAAAAAGGGAAAUUUGUUUGCCCUAAUCCCCUUUAUAUUCAAUUUUUUAACUAUCCUUUGCAAUUUUGAUGCCGUCUCCUAAUUUUUGCAGCCUUUAAGUAUCUUAUGCCGGUCUCUCCGUGAUAUAGACACCUAUACAACUGGUUUCCCUCGUGGUGAUGGCCAAGGACAUGCAAAUAUCUUUCGAGCUGUUAAGCAUUGCUUACCUGGGCCUGUAAGAAUAUCUCCUUUACCCAUUGUUAUGGCUAGCAACAAACUCUAAGGUCUCCAUCAAUGUCAUUGUUGAGCUUGUAUAACAGCUAUGCAUUAUUGUAUGUGGAGAAUAUAAGGGAGGCUGAAGCAGGAGCCACCAUACAAUGCCUUUUCGCAUGCAUUGCUUCUAAUGUUUGUGAUAUUUUCAUCAUAACAUUAUGUUGAUGGAUUGAGACUUCAUAGUGGAUAUUUAAAGGGGGAAAAAGGUAUAAAAAAAAUGAAUUUCUAUUAUCAAUUGAUCAUCUUAAGAAUUUUUGGCCAAGGACAGUUUUGUUUCCCGGCUAACUCUGUUCAGAGUUUCUUAUCUUCACAUCUUUUGUCAAAUUUAUGAUCCUAUUGUAAUUGAAAGUCGUUUGUACUGUGCUUUUGUGGGUACCUUGGUCUCCUUCUGUUUAGAUGGAAUUUAUCCUGACAAAGUGUCUAUGGAACAGUAUACCUUUAUUUUAACUGCCAGCAAAGAAGUGCCUAAAAAGUGUGUAAGAUAUGGGACUACGACAGCCAAAUAUUCUUUGAGAAAACAUGUGGGUGUCCGUAUCCCUAAUGAUGCCAUAUGCCAAGCAAUACUACAAAAGAUGGAUGCUCCAUUAAUCUCCACAAGGUUGGUUUGGUUUAUAAAUACCAACUUUUGCUAUAAGAAAAGAAACAGUUACAGGAAAACGGGUUUACCUUAUAUUUUUCUCCCUCCCUUCUUCUCAUUCUUUUAGUUACUGAUGCAAACAAUUCUGAUGAGACAAGUCCUUUCCCAUAAGUGACAACUUUGCUGGUUAAACACACUGUAGAUGCUGCUUUUGUAUCUUUGCUAUAAUUAUGAUCCUAAACUGAACUUUUGAUUUUUGUACCAGUGUGAAGUGGCUAAAGGAUAAUGAAUGGAUGGUAGAUCCAGUUGUGAUAGCUGAUACCUAUGGACCAGAGGUAUGGUUUUGAUUAAUGAGAAGAAAUUUGUAUUUCUCAAAUAAAAAAUUGACCAGAUUUCUAUUCAAGGAUAUUUACUAUAGUUAACUCAAGACCAACUUAUAUGCAAUGCUGGGGGUCUAUCUGUCUUGUUCUUGCUUUUAAUAGUGUAUUUUUCUCCUUUUAGGGCCUUGAUUUUGUUGUUGAUGGUGGUGUAAGAGUGGCUGAACCUUCCACUGUAGUUGACAUGACUGGGACUUCUCCAAAAAUCAUACGGCAAGGAAAGGUAUUCAUUGUUUCAUUUGAUCUAUGUGGGUCAACUUCUGUGAAUUAUUGGAAAACAAUACUAAGGAAUAUGUUGAUACUUAUGUUUUCUCUGUGAAUUGGGGAAUUCAGGGACCUAAACUAUACUGGAUGGAAGAGGAAGAUGCUAAUUCAACAGCAAUUGAAGAUCUAAUCCCUUCGGCUACCUAAAAAUACCAUGCAUCUUGACAUAAGCCUGUACAUAAUAAUGGUUCAUCUGCUUUCAGGGUUGAAUUACCACUUUUCUACAUUGGCAUUCCGGUUUUGGGUUGGAGAACUACCAUGACCCUGCAUACCGAAUACCAAUAUGCAUGUUUUGUAAAUGUCUGGUCAAGAAAAGCUACACUGGAGAAAGUUUUGGUAAAGCUAAAGUACGUAGGCCAGUUAGAACUUACAGUAAAUGUUGUGCAUACUCUGGCGCUUAGAUAAAAUGGCCUGGAAGCUAAUCAAAUUUGACCGUGAAGCUUUUGUUAAGUUGAUGAAUAUCAUUGGUGGUUAUUAACUAACUUGUUUUAUUUUCUCCGAUGAGCUUGCGAGUACCAACGCCAUGUCCAGAUGGAGAUCCGUGUAAUAAAUUAGAAGAUAGAAACACGGGAAAGAGACCGAAUCUUGAGAGGACCGCUUGUUUCACCCAUAAUCAAAUUGAUUUCAUGGUUGUCACUUGUUACAGAUUCAGGGCGAAUGGUAAUGUAAAAGAGAAGAAUUUUAGAAUACAUUAGGGGUAAUAUAAUUAAUUAAUGCACGUAUAAUAUGUAUAAUUACAUUUAUUACAAUUAAAAUUUACGUGAUAGUUUUGGAAAAUUGAUAUACACAUGUUAUAGUAUAUUUGUUUUUUGUAUUAUUUAUAUGAUAUUUUUGAUGUAUUAUAAAAUUUAUUCAAAGCUGAUGGUCCUUAGUACCAAAAGGGCACAGGACUCCCAUUUCUCUCCUCUCCUCAAUCCUCAUCAAAUUGACUGUUCCCUGGAGUACGUGGGAAGCAAUAAAUUUUCCUAAACCGUAAGAAUUAUGUUGCCGGGGAUUUAGCAAUUAAAGUCAUAAAUAACAAAUUAAGAAAUUAAGCAGUAAGGGCCGCAUGUUGCUGAAUAAUCUUGGCAAAGGCAUAUCAACUUGCAUUUUAUACACUGAAUUACUUGCUGUCAUCGCUACAUUCGGAGCAAAAAAAUUAACACAUUUUGGUGUCUGAUGCUUUGUUCAUGGCAUUGACAGCGAGUCUUUAAUGCCAAAACCCUAAAUCUGAAAUCAUCUCUGGGGAUUCAUCUUGUUUGGAAAAUUUCGCAAGAAGUUGAGCAAUAAUGCAGCGACAGCAAGACUUCACAAUAAAUAAAUAAUUAAAGACAAGAAAACAUCACAAUAAAUAAUAAGGAUCUAGAGCUGGCCAGUGGUGGUUAAUGAGGGACGUGAACUACUUUAAAUAAGCAGUUAUGACACUGACAACUAUAAACAACAAUAGCCGUGGCGGUAGUUGGUAUUAGCUCUUUUUGUAGUUGCUGGACUUAAAAGCCAUGGAGAAGAGCAAUACUAGAUACAAACCCUUUCAAGCUUCACUUCUCGUGGUUCCCAGCAAAGCUAUUAAAAGUUCAUCUUCUUGGUUUCUGCUUAAAUGUGAAGUACUUUCAAGUUCCUGCAAUGGGGUGGUUCAAGUUUCUUAAACUAAGUGGUUGCCUUGCAAUGAUGGUGAUGGUUGGAGCAUUAAACUCGGCUGAUUCAACAGUUUUAAUUCAUUUUGAUCGAGCUCCCCCGGCACGGUCAAGGUUCUCUACUGCUGUUUUUCAGUUCUCAGUUAAAAGGCCCGAUGGUUCUGAUGCUUGUCAAAACAACGAGUGUUCUGUUCAUUAUCAGGUAUCAGUUCUCUUCAUCGUUCAACUUUUCCCUUUUCUUGUCAUGCUCAAUUUUGCAAUAUUUAGCAAUGUGGGUAAUCUUAAAGUGUUUUAUUUUUUUAUUUUUUUUUAAAAGGUAAAGGGGUAAGAUGAACCCAAAUAAUUUUUAUUUUCUCCUCACCUUGAACUCGGGUGGUGAGCAGCUACAAACUUUAUGCUAUUACCAAUCCGACCAUGCCCUUGGGGACAGUGUUUUAUUUAUUAAUCCGGAGCUAAAAUUUUUUUUGAGACAAUUGCCAUCAAGUUCUUUAUUGUCCUCUAAAAAUUCCUUGGUCAGCAAAUGUCAACGUAAUGAUCGGCUGCUAUGAGAUAUAUUCACUUCGUUUAGGUCUACUGCUUUGACUUCAGAUAUGUAACUAAAUUGUGCAGCUUGAUGACCAAAUUUUGAGGCCUUGUCCUACUGAUGUUGUCGUGCUGAAAAACUUAACACUAAAUGGUCAGCAUGAUUUUCUUCUCAAUGUGACAACCAGCAGUGGAGAAAGAAACUCAUCAUCUUAUUCAUGGUUCAUUGGUAAGUAUACCUGUCCUCAGUGCAUUUUUUUUCCAUUGGGUGACCAGUUUACUCUCUCUGGGUUCAUAUAACAACUUCAAUGUGUCUGUUAAUGCAGCAGGUGAUUAAUCUCAGGGCAUGGAAAGAGAACUAUAUGUAGACUUAGAAUUUUGAUUCUAAAAUUUUAUGUUUUAAGUUCUUACUUCUUGUUGGUGUUCAUAUUUUUCUACAAGAUACCCUUCCACCGACUGCAACAAUUUUAAGCAAACAGAAUUACACGAAUGCGGAGAAAAUAACAAUUGACAUUAAAUUCAGUGAAGCUUGCACUGGAAAAGGUGGUUUCACAUGUGUGAACUCGUCAAACUGUAAUGUGAGUAGUUCUUGUGCUCAUAACUUAGUAUUUCACAAUUGGGAAAAUAUUCACCGUGCACCCGUUUUUUGCAACUUUUUCAAAAAUACAUAUAUAUAUUUUUUUUUUGUUGGAAUCCACCUAAAGUUAUAUUUUAUUUUAUUUUUCCACUUCCGUUUGGAAUCCGUUAAGAAAACUUACGGAAACUUAAAAAAAUGACCAUUUUACCUCUCAAAACGAAAAUUAUUAUUUCACCUCAAAAAUUACCAAAAAUAAUCAGAUUAAAUCUAAUUAUUUUUCCCAUAGGUCAAUAAAGAAAUUAAUUCCACAACCAUCAAAUACAAGUUUUUUUUUUUAAAUAUGUCUGUAAUUAGAAUGCUAAAUUAUAGCAGUAGUAUUAAAAAUAGUUAAAUCUCGCAAAUCAUCAAUUGAAUUUAAGAUAAGUAGAGUUUUAUUAUUCAUUAAGUUAUAAUCUCUAGUAGUUAAGAUUUUUUUGUACUUCAUUAAUGUACCAAUAAUGAUAUUCAUUAUUAAAUCUGAUUAUUUUUGGCAUUUUUAGGGUGAAAUUGUAAUUUUCGUUUUGGGGGUAAAAUGAUCAUUUUUUUAAGUUUCCGUUAGUUUUCUUAACGGAUUCCAAACGGAAGUGGAAAAGUGAAACAAAAUGUAACUUUAGGUAGAUUCCAUCUAAAAAAAGAAGGAAUUGUGUAUUUUUAAAAAAGUUAUAAAAAAUAAGUGAACUGUGGAUAUUUUCCCUUCAAAAUAAAUCAUGCUAGUUGCCAGCAGAAUGCUCUGUAUCUACGAAAGAGUUCUUAUGUGUAGCAUGAAGAUUACAUGAAUUCUGAUGUUUAUUUUUAAUAUAACUAUUUUCCUUCGUAGGUCAUCAUAGAUGGCCCAGCACAUGUACAGGAAUCUUCACUUCGAAUCACUGAACCAAAUAUCAGAUAUAGCCUUGAUAUAAUUCUUUCCUCGGGAAGUAUAUAUGGGCGUGUGGUAAUUGGAAUGGCAGAUAAGUUUUGUACAGAUAUAGCAGGGAAUGCUUUUACAAGGACAAAUGGUUCCAUCAUAGUCAUUCGCUUUGGUAAGGCAUUGGACACCAUUUUAACCUAUUGAGAAUACAAAAUCAGUUUAUCAAAUCUAGGAUGUUCAUAAUCAAAUCUGAUCCGCUCAAAUCAUUUGAUUCGUAAAAAAUUAAUUUGUAAAAAUCAAAUAUUUGAAUUGGUAAAUUAGAUUAGAUUGAGAAUUUGAAAAUUCGCAAUCGAUGGAUCGAAACACGGAUUUACUUUUGUAAAUUUAUAAAAAUCCGCAAAUCAACCAAAAAAAUAAAAAUUAUUUCUUUAAUUAAAAAAAUAAAACUUGUAGAUGUUUAACUUUUGUAGAGAUUUAAAUUUAUAAUUUUAGUUAAUUUUCAUGUGCUGAUUUUAAUAAAUGAGAUUUGUCUUAUUCGAUGUGUUAUAUUUUGAAACAAUGUAUUAUUCUACCUUUAUUUAAACAAUUAAUUUAUUUUAAUCUUAUUUAAUUUUGAAUUUAAUCGAUAGUAAAAUUAUUUCAUAUUAAAUUUGCUUUAUUUAAUAGUUUGUGGAUUAGAUAGAAUUAAAAAAACUUUAAUCUUUAAACCAACCUGUAAACUAGUGAAUUGAAUAUGUAAACUAGUGAAUUGAAUAUGAAAUGGGUCAAAUUUAUAUCCCAUCCAUAAAUUAAAUUUGGAUUAAAUUUUAACAAUUCAAAAAUUAGAUUAAAUUGAAUUAAAAAUUUAUAAUAUAUAAAAUAGUGGAUCAUAUAUGAAUUUACGACGAAUCCUUGAAAUCCAAACCACAACACCCCUAAUUAAAUCAUAUUUCAUUUGGUUAAUUCUAUUACUCUUGCCUGAAUCUUUGACAUAGAUAGAAGACCCGUGCUGGUUGAUUUAUGGGUGUCCAUUCCAGCAUACGAGUUGGAAUUCAAUGGUGUCUCUAGAACUGUCCUUGCCUCUAAUAAAUUGGAGGACGUGAAAAUUUUCUUGGACUUCAGCAUUCCCAUCAUGAAUUCAACAGAACAGAUCCUAGAUAUUUUUCGAUUGAAUUCUGGUAACUUGAUAGCUGUUCACGGUAGGAGGCGGGUGAAUCGCCGGUUUGUAUUUAAAGUAAGCGCUAAUUAUUAUUAUUUUCUUAUAUAUAUAUAUAUAUAUAUAUGGUAGUUUUUUGAUUUGGGAUCUUAAAAUGCAGAAAAAAGUCCGGAAAAGAUUUAAAACCGUAAAGUUUUGAAGUCUUAAAAUUUAAAGCGCUUAAAACGCAGGAUUUAUGUGUUUUUUAAGACUUUACCGUACUUUAAAAUUUUAGAUUGAAACAUUUUUAUAUUUAUAUACACACGCGUAAUUUUUAUUAUGGGUGCCACUUUCUCUGAGUCAAAUGAAUAAUGUAAUACAAAUUCUUUUCGUUUUGUAGCUCAAAGAUAUACCACAAACUGAAAUUAUCACACUUGCAUUACAAGCGAGCUUUCUUUUAGGCAUAACAGGAACCCCUGUCUCACCUGUUCCCUCGCUUAUAUUCCUCUAUGGUAUGCUAGUCAGCACUUUUCCCUCUUCAGAACAGUUCCUGUAAUUCCUUUUUUGUCGCUUACCAUGGAGCUAAAUGAUGGAUUUUCCUCUAAGAUUCCACUAAACCUGGGGUAGGGCUGAGUACCAGCUCACCGAGCAUUACAAAAGAUCCGAACAUCAAAGUGAUAGUUGAGUUCUCUAAGCCAGUUUUUGGAUUUGAGUCUUCCAUGGUAGACGUGGACGGUGGGAGUCUUAAAAGGCAGGUGCAUAAAAUGAUUACUAAACUAUUGAUCUCCUGUAUUUACAAUGAAUCAUGUCGUAGCUACUUAUGUUGUUAAGUUAGGAGUACAUAGAACGUUAAUGGAAAAUAUGUGACAUUUUACCUUUUGCUCCAUGCAGUUUUAAGGAACUUUCAAGGGCUCUAUACUCUUUGACUGUUCAGGCAUUAACUCAGCAUGUAGUUAGAAUUUCUAUUCCUGAGAAUAAAGUCCGUGACAUAUCAGGAAACCUAAAUUUGGCUUCUAACGUACUUGAAGUGAAGCAUUGUAAGAAUAACUCUCCUGAUAUUUCUAUGCUGCUUGUUACUUUGCAUUUAAUCAGAGAUAUGUAGAUCUUUUGGAUUGAAAAUUCUUUGGAGUUUUGUUUAAUGCAGCAAGCCAAGUCUUUGGAGAAAAAUUUUCUUUCAAACACCACGUUUUCUUUCUAUAGAUAUUUGGUAUCUAUGCUUUCAAUACUAUUCUCUACUUAAGACUUGAAGUUGCUCAGAUUCAACCCCUGCAAUGUCAACUGCACUACACUCGUUUGUGACUGCGGGUAUGUUAGCAACAUCACUGGCCGCUGCUAUUCUAUCAAUUUCCUCUGCAAACCUUGGAAUACUAGGCACUCUCAAUUCCGGGAGUACUGAUUUUGUUGCCUCUAAUCCAUCAAUGAACCUGCAGGUUAUAAUGAAAAAAUUUCCAUGCAAUUAACUUUUAAAAAUUUAGAUUCUUGAUCACACAUUAUGUAUUCUCUUUGCAAUAAUUUUACUUUGGUUAAAAAUCUCGAACAUUUUCAUCACAGGGAAUGGUUGGACAUCUACAAGUUUUUGUUCUCUCAGACUGGUUCUUAGCUAACCAACCUAUUGAAUAUUCUGAGACAACUAAAGGUCUUAGGUGGCUCAUACCUCGUCAAAAACUUCCCUGGAGAAAUGAUAGUGCUUCAGUUUGGCCUAACCAUGUUUAUUUGGCAAAAGAGAGACUCACAGAACAGUUCAGAUAUCUGCCAAUUGGAUCCUCUCAUGAAGGAUCUUAUCAUCAGAUUGGCUUAAAUUUAACCAGCUCAUCUUGCAUUCGGUGUGAGCUACCUUUUCCAACUGUGACAAACCAGAAGUUUAGCUGGCCUGAUGGACGGUACAACGUAAGCAUUAAAAAUGCGCCUUAUGGACAAUUUCUCAAUUCCAGCGAAUAUUUCACUUAUUUCCUGGUUAGUAUUACUAAAUUCUAUAAAUUUUGUACUUUAAAGACAGCAUUGCAUUAACGAGUACAUUGAUUUUGUAUGUUAAUUAUUGUACAAAUGGUCAUGCAGAGAGGAGAGCCAAUAUCUGCUAGCAAUGUGGUCAAAAAAUUGGAUAACUAUACCGGGUAACUUUACAAUCAGCUGCUAAUAUAAUCAGCAUUUGGAUAAUUUCAAAUUUUGCGUUCACUACAAGUAAGAGUUAUUUAUCGGUAGUGGUUUGAAAUUCUCAUUAAAAUUGUUCCCUUGACAGAUGGCGAGACUUGGAGAUGAACUUGUUCUGGCUUGGUGUGGGAGGGGGCAGCUUACUUAUAGUCCAUUUUCUAACACUACUCUUCUUAAGGUGGAGGAUGGGGACUUCAGUGAAGGGGAUGCUUUCAGUUCCAAGGUUUGAGCUCCUUUUUGUAAUUCUUAUGCUACCUUGCAUCUCUCAGUCUUCAGCGUUUGUAAUCAGAGGUAAGAAAAUCAGAACAAUGAUUUCAUUUCGAUUAAACAUCCUCUUGGAUUCUAUGAACUGAAGGCUACAUCAAUUUUUCAGGUGGCACCACAGAGGGAAUAAUCACUGGGGCUUUAUUGUUGGCCAUCCCUGCAGCACUUAUUUUGUCAGUGCUUCUAUUUGUCAUAAUUGCAAUCUUUUUAGGCAGUUUUGUGCAAUAUAAAGAAAUCACCCAUGUGGCUACGAGUGAAAAGUGGCAUGUAAAACUAUGGUUUUUCUUCAUGGGAAGGCCUGCUACUGGAAAAUGGUUUUACAGGGAAGGGCUGCCUUCAAUUUUCUUCCCAAUCUUUGGGAUUCUGUUUGAGAAUCGAAAGGGGCCUCCAUUGUUAGUUUUUGCUGAAGAUAAUGAUCCUAACACCAUAACCAAGUGGACUGAAAGUGGGAGAAGUGGGAUUGGAAGAAUGAGAGCUAUCAGCUCAGAUGACAGCAAUGAAGAAGUGAGAAUUCGCACAUCCGUUAAGCUAUUGGGGUGUGCCAGGUCCUCCUAUAUUAUUCUUGACCUUUUGAGAAGAGUCAGUAUAGGGAUAAUAUCUGGGGCAUACCCAUCAAAUAAGUUAAGCCAAAGCCUUCUUGCUUUGGCCAUCACGCUUAUACAGUUCAUAAGUUUAUUUACUCUCAAGCCAUACAUCCAAAGAGGAGUCCACACAGUGGAAAGCGUUUCUCUUCUAUGUGAGGUGGGCAUCUUUGCUCUAUGCAUCAGAUUGAAUGGCUCAAAUCCAACUGAAGCAAAAACUCUGGGUUUUUUAAUGCUGGCUCUCCUGUUCCUCAUGUUUGUUGCUCAGAUAAUUAAUGAGUGGUAUGCUAUGAUAAAAGGCAUUUUAGGACUCUCUCAGCCCCAGAAAAAUUCUUUCAGACUCGGAUUGAAGUUUGUUGCUAAAGGCCUUGUGUUGCCUUUGCUACCAAGGAGGCACUGGUCAAGAGUCAUGCCUGGUUCGUCGCGACCGCUAACAGGCCUAGCUCCAGUCCUUCCUCAAAGCCCGGAAACUGAAUGUGGAAGAAGAGGUCCAGGAGGAUCUAAUGCUGACCCUUUUAGUGCCAUGACAGCAACAGUAGUCCCUGUGUCGAGUCCUGGCUCCCCAGGCCUUAAUGUUGCUCAAGCAGCUCGUUCAACACCUACAGACCUAACCCUAGCCCAGCAGAGAGCCAGAGAAGGGAAGCAGGCAAAGGGACUGAAGUUGGAGCCAAAGAGUGACCUGAAGAAGCUAAGAGAGUUGGCAAGAGCUAGUUUUUCUGGGGAUUCAAAGGGUGAGGAAACUAGUACCAGUUACGCAUUUAGGCAGCAAUCUGUUUCUGCUGAAACCUCUGUGGAAAAUUCUCAAGCCUCCACUUCCAAAUUCAAACAAUGAUGUUAAACACAAUGAGGCUAACCAAAAGGGACGGGACGCUAAGGUUCAACCAUUUUUUUUUGUUUUUUAGUUUGUGUAUUUAAAUGACCUGUAAGAUAGAUCUUCUGUAUAAAUUUUUCGCUUACAGAAAAUAGGAAAUGCAGAUUCCUUAUAGUUGGAUAAAGUAACUGAAAUUUUGAAAUUUAUGAAUGUUCAGAGUUCCCAGAAUGCUGCCUUGUUAUUCCAGCACAUGUUUCCCUAGUAGGAAACAGGUAAACUAGCCCUAUAUCUAACAGAUACUGAAAUAAAAUUGAACUCAGACUACAGUAUCCUCUAUAAAUGUUGCAAAUAUAAAGUAAUCAUUAGCCUAAAAACAGAUAUGAGAACUUGCUCUGAAGCUGAUCUUUUUUAUUAAUAGCAUUGGUUGAAUCAAACUCAACUAGGCUAAUGAAUUAAAAGUACAACUUAGAAACAGAAGCAUUGCUGUUAGCAUACAAUCGCCAAAUCAUCCAUCCAAAGUUUAAUACAGGGAAAACAAAGUUGAAGAAAUGCUGCAGAGAAGUGAACCAAAAGUUUCCGAUGGCCACCCAAAUUCAUCUUCCAUAAUCAGCUUGACUCUGAUAAUCAUCCCCAUUAAGUUCUGAGAAAGAGUCUCCAAUUAUCUUUUCGUCUAAUGGAGACACCGCGAGCAAACUGUCGAGGCCAUGCACAACAAGCCAAUUGCUGCUAUACAUAUCUGGAAAGACAACUGGGACACCAUUAAGCAAAAUCACAUCACCAGAGUAAGCCACAGUAAUCUUAAAUCCUUCUGAAGAAGUUGGCAACGUUGUCCCUCCAUCGAGCCUAAUCAGAUCCUGCCAACGAAGCAACCUGAGAACCACAUGUUGCUUAAAAAUCGAAACACAAUCAGUAAUGUUCUUCACAUAUGGCUCCAUUGCUGCAUCAACUGGUGCAAAGAUAGUCAAUCUUGUCUGAUUUGUAAACCUCGCUAAUUGCAUAUCAAGAAAGGUGGCCAUUAAGGUAUAGCCUCUUGAAUUUAACAAAUCUGAUGCCUCACCAAAAACAUCAACAUCAAAGCCAAUCGGUUCAAUUGGAGAAGGAACAGGACUCGGUGCAGGAGCUGAGUGAGGAGGGGGGCUAAUCAUGACCCCAAAUGAAGAAUUAAAGAACUCAUCUAUACCAUACACAACCAGUUCUUCUUGAUCAAACAUGGGUGAUUCUUGAAUCAAAACCCCAUUAAUGGACAAAUGGGCAUUGUUAAAAUCUGAAGCAGUAACGAUCAGUGAGUGAUUGGACAACAAUGUCGGUAAUCUUGAGCCAAAAGCAAGAGUCUUGAGGCUAUCUUGGGAGAGUCUUGAAGGUGAUAUGUGAUAUUGAAGCUGAGAAAGAGAGAGCUGGCCUGAUUGAGAAAAGGCAAAAUCUGAUGGGGAGAAAAUGGUGAGUGUUUUUGAUUCAAGAUUGAGUGUCUUGAAAGUGAUUUGAAGGGUCAGUGCCAUCGAUAAGUAGCCUGAGUUUGAGAGUGUUUCCACAGCAUUUGAUAGGGUUCCAGGAGAGACUGCAAGAGCAAUGGAGAUGAGAGAGAAGAUGAUGAGAGAGAAGAAGAGGGUAGUAGCCAUUGAAGAGUUGGUUUACGAUUUGUUGAGGGUUUGAAGAAGAACGUUCAAGGGCGGGAAAGGAAGAAGAAGCUGAUGCCUUAUUGGUUAAAGGUAGUUAUUUGAUAGGUUUAGUGCCAGCUGCCAAGAUUUAUCAAAAGAUCUUCAUGAUGUCUAAUUCCAUCCAAUGAGAUGCGAGUGGUGGGAAUGGGAUCCCGUAUGCGUGCUUCAAUUGGACCAAUAUUUUUAAAGAAAUAAUUUUAGGAAAAAAAAAGAAGAUAUUUAACCAAAAGGGCUACAAAGGUUUUAAUGUGUUUUUUUCCUUUAUUUUUUUAAAUUUAUGGUAAACCCACAUGAUUUUAACGUGUUCUUUAAUUAUUUUCCAAUUAACGAUAACCUCGCAACGUUUUAAUCUUGAUUCUAUCACUGCUCUGUAUAAUUCUUUUGGCUAAAAAGUGAAUCAAGUUCUAAGACUUAAUAUAAUAUAAAAUUUUUUGAAAGAAAAUAAUGUAAUACCGUCCAUUGUUAAUUAACAAAUAUUAAAUAUAUUUGAAACUGAAAUAAAUAUUAAAUAAAUUUUUUUGUAUUAUUUCACAUCUAAAAUUUUAUGCAUGAUACUAAAAUACAUCUCAAAAUUUAUUUUAAAAUAGUCAUCUUAAUUCGGGUGGCAAUCGUUAUAUGUGCAUGCCACUUAGUCAACUAAAUUUGACUAUUCAGUGCAUUUGAUUUGAUAUCUUUCAUAGAUAAAAGAAUAUAGUACUACUGCUACGAGUUAUUCUCUUGUACUUAUUUGGCUGACAAACGAGGGUUUAUUUGUUAAAUUUUUGAAAUCUGAAAUUUUAUAAUUUUAGAUCUUUUUUAAAUUUAUUUGUUUGUUUUUUGUAAUUUAUGAUUGAUUUUUAAAUAUUUACAUCUAAUUACAAAUAAAAACUCAUUUAAUAAAAAUUCAAAAACAUAUUUUAAAAUUUUAAUAUUUAUAAAUUACAACAUAAUUUUAAUUUAACUAAUCCCAUGGCCCCUCUUGAGAUAGCUUCCUUUACAAAUUUGAGAUUAUCCUAUAGGCCGAGGAUAAGUUAAUCUUAAUACUCUUAAUGGCACCAAACAUGUGAUUAGGAUGAAAAUAAUCCAAUCCCCUUUUUAAUCCUCUAACCAAACGCACCAUAAUAGUAAUAAUAUAAGGUCAGUGUAUAUAUAUCACAUUAUGCAAUAUUAGGUUCAACUAUGAUUUUACAGUUUAGGUAAGGGUUGGCAUUCGAUUCGAGGUGAACAAAUUGAACCCUGAAUCUAUUUCAAUUUUUAGUUCUGUUUGAUUUGAUCCCAAAAACUGAUUGGUUUGAAAAUAGAGAAUAAAACUCAACCGAACAACAAAUUUGAUUGAUUUACAUUAAAAAGAAAGAAGACAAACCCUAAAUGACUAAGAUUCAUUUGAUGUGCAAGAUAGGAGAAGAUACGAGAAGAUAGGAUGAGAUGAGAUAUGAUUAGAUUAGAUAUAAUAUUAUGUUGUGUUUGGUGUAGCUUAAGAUUGGACUAUUGCAUUUGGCAUGCCAUCAGAUUGUAUAGUCACUAAUAUGUUUUAUAUAUUAAUUUAAUCAAAAUUAUCUUAAAUUAAUUGUUUUAUCACAAUCUAAAAAAUAAAUUUGCCCUCUAUAAACAAGAAAGAAGACCUACACCCCCACUGUUUGAGAAAAUGGUCAUAUACACCUCCCAAAUUUUCAAUAAAGGACAUGAAGAUCACUUUUGACCAUAUAACAUUUUGGCUAGUAUUUCAGAGCACUAGAGAGCAGAAUGUUGGAGUGCUAGGCCCGAACUGGGAGGCUCUCUAUAAAAUAACAGAAAUUAUUCGUCCUGAAACUUAUAGGAUAAAAGAUAUGAGUGGAGUCUCCUUAAGUGACUUGACUGAGUUUGCUCCCCAGUUUGAGUCGCAGGGAAGUCGCCUUUGUUGGGAGAACCUGUGCCUCCCGGUUCGAGCAGGGGCUUCUAGUCUGAGUUGUGGUACGGGCUUAAAGGUGACUCCCACAAUUGAGACCAUCCCCAAG
rnacentral:lncRNA from 1 species